rnacentral:rRNA from 1 species
AACGAACGCUGGCGGCAGGCUUAACACAUGCAAGUCGAACGCACCUUUCGGGGUGAGUGGCAGACGGGUGAGUAACGCGUGGGAAUCUACCCUUCUCUACGGGAUAGCUCCGGGAAACUGGAAUUAAUACCGUAUACGUCCUGAGGGAGAAAGAUUUAUCGGGGAAGGUUGAGCCCGCGUUGGAUUAGCUAGUUGGUGGGGUAAAGGCCUACCAAGGCGACGAUCCAUAGCUGGUCUAAGAGGAUGAUCAGCCACAUUGGGACUGAGACACGGCCCAAACUCCUACGGGAGGCAGCAGUGGGGAAUAUUGGACAAUGGGCGCAAGCCUGAUCCAGCCAUGCCGCGUGAGUGAUGAAGGCCCUAGGGUUGUAAAGCUCUUUCAGUGGGGACGAUAAUGACGGUACCCACAGAAGAAGCCCCGGCUAACUUCGUG